UUUUCUCAUAAAUAAGUAAACAAUUUUGCUUUAUAAAAAACAUCUUAUUAUUUCAAUUGAGAUUUUGUAUAAGUAGAAUCUUGAUUAAAAAUAAAAAAAAUCCUCCAUAGUUUAGAUUCCUUGGAGUUUGUCUAAAGUACUAGGUAUAUGGGGUUCCUCCAUUUGCAACUCCAAAAAAACAAGAAUCACAUAUUACUAUCUACUUUAUAGUUAUCCGUGUUCUCUUGUUGCGGGUCAGUUCCGAAGUUGGAUGUCUGAUUGUGCUUGACAGAGAUAUAAAGUUGAAGUUAAGAGCGCUAUUUUGUUUCAGUGCUAAUGGGAGCCAAGCGCACAAGAUUACAUGGUGAAAGUGACGACUGGAAAAAGUUUCCAAUUCCACCUGGUUUAGAAUCGCCAAUGUCCUUCACAUUUGUCGCUGUUGGGAAUGAGUCUGAGCAAGAUCCUAGUUAGGCUGCUUCUACUUCAACAAUUAUUAGCAUAGGAAAGCUUAAGAGUUCUGUUAGGUGUAGGCCUUGGAUACUUGAUGAUCAUGUUGAUCACAUGGAAGAAGAUUCUGGAUGUGAAGCUGAUAAGGUUAGUAAGAUUUUCAUAAUUUUUUCUAAUAAAAAUUUUCUUCAAGAUAUUUAUCGCCAAGUGCGAUAGCAAGGGCAGGACAGGAUGGUAUGUUUAGACCCAGGAGGAAAACACAAAUCUUGCUAUAGAUAUCUGGAUUAUAGAGGAGGAAUAGAACCUAUAUGGAGAAAUAUGUUUGUAAGUCAAGAGGGGGUUUGUAUAAACCUGAAUUGCUGUUGUAUGCGUUAGAAAGAAGGGGAGGUCUCUAAUCUUAUGGUUCUUCGUUAUCGCAAUGCAGCUGAGCUGGAGUCGGUUGUUCCACAUUCAAUGUAUCAUGGGCACUACCCUUGAAAAUCGCAGAUGCCUUUGCAACAUGGAAGUUCAGCACAAGGAAAGAAUGGAAGAAAGUCUGGGAAAUAGCGUCAUUAUACUUUUUUUUGGAUGACGGAGAGAAAAGAGAUCAGGAGGAAGUCUAAAGGGGUGGAUAGAUAUUUUGGGAGCUAUACAACUGAGCAUUUAUACCUAUUAACCCUGCAUCAUCUUCUUGCACAUUUAUGAACUUUAUUUUGGAUUUAUCAAUAGAAAGGUUGUAUCAGUUGAUAAGUCUGCGUUCUCUCUUUGCCGCUCACUGUACAGGGGAAGGGCUUAAUGUUGAAUUCUUUUGUUCCUUGUCAAUAAGAAACUAGUAUAUGUAAUAGUAGUUAAUAUGGAAGUGUAUAUAUGGAACUAGCCUUAAAUCUGAAUCGUAGUGUCUAGAGAUGUUGAGCCCUUGUCGCCCAUACUAUUUAGUAACAUUCCGCAAAAGCUUGUAUUAUUAAGUAAGCUCUUCUCUGAUUAUGAAAUGAGAGGUACUAACUAGUCCUAAAUCC